GAUAGGUUAAGUUAAUAAGGGCGCAUGGUGGAUGCCUUGGCACUAGAAGGCGAUGAAGGACGUGACUAACUACGAUAUGCCUCGGUUAGCUGUAAGUAAGCUUACCCGGGGGUUUCCGAAUGGGGCAACCCGAUCUUAAUGAUCAUCAUCUUUUUGAAUUCAUAGAUUAGAUGAAGCAAACGCUGUGAACUGAAACAUCUAAGUAGCAGUAGGAAAGUAAAGAAAUUUCGAUUCCGUCAGUAGCGGCGAGCGAACGCGGAAGAGCCCAAACCUGGAUGCUUGCAUCCAGGGGUUGUAGGACUGAUGUUGAGUUACAAAGGUAUAAGAUAGCAGAAACAGUUGGGAAGCUGUUCCAAAGAGGGUGACAGGCCCGUAUGCGAAAUCUUGUACUCUCUAAUCAGGAUCCUGAGUACGGCCCAGCACGUGAAAUUGGGUCGGAAUCUGGGAGGACCAUCUCCCAAGGCUAAAUACUAACUAGUGACCGAUAGCGAACAAGUACCGUGAGGGAAAGGUGAAAAGAACCCCGGAAGGGGAGUGAAAUAGUUCUUGAAACCGUGUGCUUACAAGAAGUUCGAGGCCGUUAAUGGCUGAGAGCGUGCUUUUUGUAGAAUGAACCGGAGAGUUACGAUUGCGUGCAAGGUUAAGGUGCAAAGACUGGAGCCGUAGCGAAAGCGAGUCUUAAUAGGGCGAAUCAGUACGUAGUUGUAGACCCGAAACCGAGUGACCUAUCCAUGGUCAGGUUGAAGGUGGGGUAAUACCUACUGGAGGACCGAACAAGUUGGUGUUAAAAAACCCUUUGAUGAACUGUGGAUAGCGGUGAAAUUCCAAUCGAACUCGGAGAUAGCUGGUUCUAUCCGAAAUACAUUUAGGUGUAGCCUUGCAAUUAGCUUACUGGAGGU
rnacentral:rRNA from 1 species